rnacentral:rRNA from 1 species
ACUCAAAUGAAUAGACGGGGACCCGCACAAGCGGUGGAACAUGUGGUUUAAUUCGAGGCAACGCGAAGAACCUUACCAAGACUUGACAUGCCCUCUAUGGAAAGCAGAAACGUUUUCCUUCACUUCGGGUGGGAGGAGCACAGGUGCUGCAUGGCUGUCGUCAGCUCGUGUCGUGAGAUGUUGGGUUAAGUCCCGCAACGAGCGCAACCCUCAUCCUCUGUUGCUAACAGGUUAAGCUGAGCACUCUGAGGAAACUGCCGGUGAUAAGCCGGAGGAAGGUGGGGAUGACGUCAAGUCCUCAUGGCCCUUACGUCUUGGGCUACACACGUGUUACAAUGGUGGUGACAAUGAGCAGCUAACCCGCGAGGGCAUGCUAAUCUCAAAAAGCCACCUCAGUUCAGAUUGUACUCUGCAACUCGAGUACAUGAAGUUGGAAUCGCUAGUAAUCGUGGAUCAGCACGCCACGGUGAAUACGUUCCCGGGUCUUGCACACACCGCCCGU